rnacentral:tRNA from 1 species
GCGCCGGUGGUGUAAGGUGAACAUCGCUGCCCGGAAAGCAGAAGAUGCGGGUUCGACUCCCGCCUGGCGCA